UACGUAGGUGGCAAGCGUUGUCCGGGAUUAUUGGGCGUAAAGCGCGCGCAGGCGGCUUUGUAAGUCUGGUGUUUAAACCUGGGGCUCAACCUCAGGUCGCAUCGGAAACUGCAAGGCUUGAGUGCAGAAGAGGAAAGUGGAAUUCCACGUGUAGCGGUGAAAUGCGUAGAGAUGUGGAGGAACACCAGUGGCGAAGGCGGGUCUCUGGGCCUUACCUGACGCUGAGGAGCGAAAGCAUGGGGAGCGAACAGG
rnacentral:misc_RNA from 1 species